UACGUAGGGAGCAAGCGUUGUCCGGAAUCAUUGGGCGUAAAGCGCGCGUAGGUGGCCAUGUAAGUCCGCUGUGAAAGUCAAAGGCUCAACCUUUGAAAGCCGGUGGAUACUGCAUGGCUAGAGUACGGAAGAGGCGAGUGGAAUUCCUGGUGUAGCGGUGGAAUGCGCAGAUAUCAGGAAGAACACCCGUGGCGAAAGCGGCUCUCUGGAACGGUACUGACGCUGAGACGCGAAAGCGUGGGGAGCGAACAGG
rnacentral:rRNA from 1 species